AAAAAGAAUUACUCAUAUUCUACAAAUAUAGAGAGGUGGAAAAUCUUAACAUAUUACUUUGCAUAAAAGAUUCUACUAUAUUAUUUGGGAAGUACAUUUUAAAUGUAACCUCAAUUUUUGUAAUUAAUUACAUGAAAUGCCAUUAGAAAAAA
rnacentral:sRNA from 1 species